rnacentral:tRNA from 1 species
ACCUGGCUGGCUCAGUUGGUAGAGCAUGCAACUCUUGAUCUCGGGGGGUCAUGAGUUCAAGCCCCAUGUUGGGUG